rnacentral:rRNA from 1 species
GACGAACGCUGGCGGCGUGCCUAAUACAUGCAAGUCGAGCGGAUCUCUUCGGAGAUCAGCGGCGGACGGGUGAGUAACACGUGGGCAACCUGCCUGUAAGACUGGGAUAACUCCGGGAAACCGGAGCUAAUACCGGAUACUAUGUCAAACCGCAUGGUUUGACAUUCAAAGACGGUUUCGGCUGUCACUUACAGAUGGGCCCGCGGCGCAUUAGCUAGUUGGUGAGGUAAUGGCUCACCAAGGCGACGAUGCGUAGCCGACCUGAGAGGGUGAUCGGCCACACUGGGACUGAGACACGGCCCAGACUCCUACGGGAGGCAGCAGUAGGGAAUCUUCCGCAAUGGACGAAAGUCUGACGGAGCAACGCCGCGUGAGUGAUGAAGGUUUUCGGAUCGUAAAACUCUGUUGUCAGGGAAGAACAAGUGCCGGAGUAACUGCCGGCACCUUGACGGUACCUGACCAGAAAGCCACGGCUAACUACGUGCCAGCAGCCGCGGUAAUACGUAGGUGGCAAGCGUUGUCCGGAAUUAUUGGGCGUAAAGCGCGCGCAGGCGGUUUCUUAAGUCUGAUGUGAAAGCCCCCGGCUCAACCGGGGAGGGUCAUUGGAAACUGGGAAACUUGAGUGCAGAAGAGGAGAGUGGAAUUCCACGUGUAGCGGUGAAAUGCGUAGAGAUGUGGAGGAACACCAGUGGCGAAGGCGACUCUCUGGUCUGUAACUGACGCUGAGGCGCGAAAGCGUGGGGAGCGAACAGGAUUAGAUACCCUGGUAGUCCACGCCGUAAACGAUGAGUGCUAAGUGUUAGAGGGUUUCCGCCCUUUAGUGCUGCAGCUAACGCAUUAAGCACUCCGCCUGGGGAGUACGGUCGCAAGACUGAAA